GACGAGGUGGUCGAGAGGCUAAGGCGAUGGACUGAUAAUCAAUUGUGCUUUGCACGCAUGGGUUCGAAUCCCAUUCUCGUCG